rnacentral:lncRNA from 1 species
CUCUGUUAUUAAUCCACUUGCUGGACGUGAUGUUUAUUAUCACGCUUGACUCAACUGGCAAAAUGUACCAGAGUGCACAAAUCAGGGUUGGUGCACGCUGAUCAAUAAAUAUUAUAAUGUCCUAAUGCCUCUAAAAGGAUUUAGCUGUUUCUGCCAACUUCAUUUUUUUAAAAAAAAAAGCUCUUGGUAGAGGCUCAGGAGCUUCAUUCCAUGGUGUGAGUGUCUGCUAGCAAAGCCACUCACCGGUUUUUAUAUUACUUCUUUCCUCGCACAGAAACUUGACCAAGAGAAGCCGGGAAUGGGAACACACUCCAGUGUCAAUCCCAUUGAGGAUGACUCAUAUCAUGGCUGAUACCAUGGCACAAAAAACGCAGGUGUUUUAAGGGUCUCAGUCUCCUGGCAGGAAAACACCAAACAAGGGCUGCUGGCUGCAUCACAAGAGGGUUUGAUCUGCUUUUCCAAAGAGAGGGAAAACUGUUUGGCUAAAACCAAAGUCAAAAGAGACAGCAAGACAACAGCUGAGGCUGAAAAGCAUGAGGAAGAAGAGCAGAUGUGAGUGUUCUUCAGCCCAACCAGGUUCACCACCUGCAGGACCAGCUGCUCCCUGACAUGACCCCAUAAGGAGCUGCUGGAUGGAAAGGCAGGAGCAGUGCUGCAGCAGGUUCCCUGUGCCUGCAGGAGACUGCUCCCAGGCAGGAGCAAAGAGCCCCAAGGGCAAGAUCAUGCCCUUGGUUAUACCCAUUUACCACACUGGGCCUUGCAGCUCUGUGAUCAUCUGGGCUGAACCUGUCCUCCAUGGAAAUGGAAUGAAUUCUGUGGGAGCUCUUUCCAGCCGCAGAGCCCUGGCCAGCAGCUCGCUGGCUUGUUUGAAGCAGGAGAGAGGACACCUGUAUUGUCACAGGUGUAUUGUCACACCCUCCCCAGAGACUUUCCCCUCCCAGGUCACACUGGGAUCGCCUCACCGGCUGGCAGGUGACACAGAGAACUGCUCAUCAAACCAAACCCGGACCGAAAGCUUGAAAACUGUUUUAUUCAGGUGAUUUGCAGCUGUCAAACUAUCUCAGAGGCGAUAAUGCUGCUGCUCUGAAGGGUGCUUUGGAGCCAUUUGCAUCGUGUUCUGCUCUCCACGGGGACUCGGGCUGGAUUACUUGUUUCCCACACCCCGAUUUGGCUCCCUGAGAUCCCGCAUCCCUCAGCCCUGACCUGUGAGUGGGGCUGGCUGGCAUCCUUGGGGUACUGCCCCCGCUUCAAGCUUCAGGAACUGAUGGUAAAACAGCCCAGAGGCACACGUGUGAUCUGAAUUCUGCUAGCUGGACACAUGGCUGACUCCAUGUCUAGAGACUAAGAUUUUACCAUCCCUGCUGUAGUAGCCCCAGGGGACCUAAAUGCCGGCUCUGGCGCUCUUCUGGAGAGAUCUCCGGGCUCCAGAUCCCCACUUUGUCACCUUCCCACGGGGUGUGUGCGUGUGUGCGUGUGGCAGGCACUGCGCUUGCCCUGCGUGCCCCCACAGUCCAGCUUCUGGCUCCUGAAUGCUCCCAUGGGAUUCGCAAACCCCAUCCUUCCUCCCGCUGCACCCGAGGGCUGCCCUCACCCAGGGACCAGGCAAGGAAUGGCAUCCAGGCAAGGUGCUCCAAGGAGGGUGAGCAUUGACACCUUCAGUAGCAGCAAGUCUGUCAUUAAUUUAAAUCCUGCUCAGCUGCACAGACAAAAAUAUCUUGAAAUUUCUUUCAACUUAAAAUUUGAUUAAGACCUGUGAUAAAAGAAAUAACACAUUACUUGUGGAGAUAGGCAUUUUCAGGUUACUUGAUUGGGGGAAAGUGUUUUUGUUUGCAGCAGCGUCAAUAUUUCUGUGGUGAAAGGUUUGUCACAGGUACAACAUUUGUAACACAUUAGUAACACAUAAAUAUCGUGGGAAUCAAAACACGGGGCUGGAAGGCAUCUCUGAAGAAUUCGUGUUCAACUCUUGUUCCAGGUAGGAUUAUCUCUGUCUAAAUCAUUCGUGAUUAUUCACCUAACCUGCUUCGCAAAAUCUCUGGUAAU